UACGUAGGUGGCAAGCGUUGUCCGGAAUUACUGGGUGUAAAGCGCGUGUAGGCGGGCGGCCAAGUCUGCUGUGAAAUCGCCCGGCUCAACUGGGCGGGGUCGGUGGAAACUGGUCACCUGGAGGACGGUAGAGGCGAGUGGAAUUCCCGGUGUAGUGGUGAAAUGCGUAGAGAUCGGGAGGAACACCAGUGGCGAAGGCGGCUCGCUGGGCCGGACCUGACGCUGAGACGCGAAAGCUAGGGGAGCGAACGGG
rnacentral:rRNA from 1 species